rnacentral:rRNA from 1 species
UGCCAGCCGCCGCGGUAAUACGUAGGACCCGAGCGUUAUCCGGAUUUACUGGGCGUAAAGCGCGCGUAGGCGGUUUUGUAAGUCGGAUGUGAGAUCCCUGGGCUUAACCUGGGAACUGCAUUCGAUACUGCAUAACUAGAGUAUGGUAGAGGGAAGUGGAAUUUCCGGUGUAGCGGUGAAAUGCGUAGAUAUCGGAAGGAACACCAGUGGCGAAGGCGACUUCCUGGGCCAAUACUGACGCUGAGGUGCGAAAGCGUGGGGAGCAAACAGGAUUAGAUA